CCCCUGCAGCCACAUUGUCUUACAACAUCCCCCACCCCAGCAAUGCUGACAUGUGGGGAUGUCAUAUGGAGGCGUCAUGAAUUCAGAUGCCAUGGCUGCGCGAGGUCUAAGAUCCCACACAGAGUCAUGGAGCAAAGUGUCACACGGAGCCUGAUAACUCCAGAAUUCUGGUUCUGUGUUGUAUUUGUUUGUUUUGACUGUGCCGUGUCAUUGCCGAUCCACCAACAGUCAGAGAAGGUUUGCAGUCAAAAUAUCGUUUAGCAGUUGGAGCUGUUUCUGUUGGACACUAAGUACUGCUACGAAA